AACGCACCUUGCGCUCCUCGGUGUUCCGAGGAGCAUGCCUGUUUGAGUGUCAGUAAAUUCUCAACCCCUCUCGAUUUGCUUCGAGCGGGUGCUUGGAUGUUGGGGGCUGCCGGAGACACUGGAUUCGUCCAGGACUCGGGCUCCUCUUAAAUGAAUCGGCUCGCGGUCGACUUUCGACUUUGCAUGACAAGGCCUUUGGCGUGAUAAUGAUCGCCGUUCGCCGAAGUGCAAGACAGAAUGGUCCCGUGCCUCUAAUGCGUCGACGCCUCUAGGGGCGUCUUCCUCAUUGACGUUUGACCUCAAAUCAGGUAGGACUACCCGCUGAACUUAA
rnacentral:misc_RNA from 4 species